rnacentral:lncRNA from 1 species
AAAAAUCACAUUAGUCAAAUUGAACAUUUGUUGCAAUGUUGAUAAAUAUGGAUGAUCAAGACCAGUAUCUACAUAAUAUGAUUAUGAACUAGGCUAGUCUCUACAGCAGUCACUUAUCAGAACUCAAUCUAGCGCUCAAAGUAUCAGUACAUGAAGCUAGCUAGAUUAACCAUCAAUCCACUAUUUUCAACUUGUAGCUAAAGAUAUAUAAACAAACUUGGGCUAUUUAGCAUUCAGAACAGAACAUAACAUAACAGAACAUUCUCAUCACAGGUUCAGGUUGUGCGAAAUUCAAAACAGUACAGAAUGGUUCAAAACAGGUUCAAAACAGUACAAAAUGGUGGUUCGAGAAAUUACCAGUGGUGCGAGAACAGUGAGAACG